GACCAAGAACGUGAUUACUUCAUGCAGCGUUACCAUGAUGUUAUUUCUUCAUUUGGAGGUAAAACCUCUUAUGACGCUGACAACCGUCCUUUACUUGUCAUGCGCUCUAAUCUCUGGGCAUCUGGCUAUGAUGUUGAUGGAACUGACCAAACGUCGUUAGGCCAGUUUUCUGGUCGUGUUCAACAGACCUAUAAACAUUCUGUGCCGCGUUUCUUUGUUCCUGAGCAUGGCACUAUGUUUACUCUUGCGCUUGUUCGUUUUCCGCCUACUGCGACUAAAGAGAUUCAGUACCUUAACGCUAAAGGUGCUUUGACUUAUACCGAUAUUGCUGGCGACCCUGUUUUGUAUGGCCACU
rnacentral:rRNA from 1 species